rnacentral:rRNA from 1 species
AUGGCUGGCGUUCACGUCAGCAGAGCUUCGCCUUCGCCACGAAGGAAAAGAAAAGAGGGCGCCGGAGGCAAGCCGAACCUACCGCCUCCGCACGCGAAUUCAAUGCGCCGGUCACGAGUUGGUUGGCGCCAUAAAGUCUCCCCCUUUCCCAUCCCCCUCUCCUCUUCUUUGCUGCCGUCCCUCCCUCUCUCUCUUCCUGCUUCGUCCUCGUCGGUUGCAUCUCCUCCUCGGCCCGAUCCAGCUCCGCCGACCGACUGCUGUUGUUCUCUCUGUCUUCUCGGUGCGUGCGUGGGUGAUCCAAGGGAGUGA